rnacentral:rRNA from 1 species
UACGUAGGGCGCAAGCGUUGUCCGGAAUUAUUGGGCGUAAAGAGCUCGUAGGCGGUCUGUCACGUCGGCUGUGAAAACCCGAGGCUCAACCUCGGGCCUGCAGUCGAUACGGGCAGACUAGAGUUCGGUAGGGGAGACUGGAAUUCCUGGUGUAGCGGUGAAAUGCGCAGAUAUCAGGAGGAACACCGAUGGCGAAGGCAGGUCUCUGGGCCACUACUGACGCUGAGAAGCGAAAGCGUGGGGAGCGAACAGG